GCGCCGCGCUCCGCUCUGCCCCUCCAGCAGCCACCAUGAAGCCCGAGCGAGAUACUUUAGAUGAAUACUUUGAAUACGAAGCUGAGGAGUUCCUGGUCUCCUUGGCCUUGCUGAUUACUGAAGGUCGGACACCCGAAUAUUCUAUAAAGGGUAGAACAGAGGGUUUUCAUUGCCCUCCAGCACAAUCAAGUCAGCCACCAACAUCUAAGCAUGAAUGCAGCGACAAACUGGCUCAGUGCCGUCAAGCUAGGCGAACCAGAUCUGAGGUUAUGCUGCUGUGGAAGAACAAUAUUCCAAUCAUGGUAGAAGUGAUGCUGCUUCCAGACUGUUGCUAUAGUGAUGAAGGCCCUAACACUGAGGGGAACGAUUUAAAUGACCCUGCAAUCAAACAAGAUGCACUGUUGUUAGAAAGAUGGAUUUUGGAACCAGUUCCUCGACAAAGUGGAGAUCGAUUUAUUGAAGAGAAGACCCUUUUACUGGCUGUUCGGUCGUUCGUUUUCUUCUCUCAAUUAAGCGCUUGGCURAGUGUUUCACACGGUGCUGUUCCUCGUAACAUUCUCUACAGAGUAAGCGCUGCAGAUGUAGACCUGCAAUGGACAUUCUCCCAGACACCGACUGAACACGUAUUUCCUGUUCCUAAUGUUUCUCACAACGUGGCCUUGAAAGUCAGCGUCCAGUCCUUGCCUAGACAAUCCAACUACCCGGUUUUGACAUGUAGUAUUCACACCAACCUUAGCUUUUACGAGAAGAGGAUGCAGGAGCACAAGUUACAUCAGCGCGGUGAUUCCAUUGCGGCAGAACAAUGCAGUACGUCUGGUUCGCAGCGCGUGUGCGGGAAACAAACCUGGACAAUGACACCUGAAGGCCUGCUUAAUGUAAMAAAGUCACCUGAAUUUACCACGUCUAUCAGAAAUUUAAAGCUUUAUCCACCUCCUGGUCUUGGAUCUGACUUUGGAGCAUCCCAGUCUAAAGUUCAGUGCUAUAAUGCUGCGGGAGACAGUAAGACACAAGCUCAUGAAACACCUGUGAGAACUUUUAAAUCGUUUUCCUUGGUUGAUUCCCGUGUUUCAAGUAGUCAGUGUUCUCGUCAGUCCACAGGAGAAGCCAAUCCUCUGAUAGGCUCUUUGCUUCAGGAGCGACAAGAAGUCAUAGCAAGAAUCGCUCAGCACCUGAUUCACUGUGACCCAGCCACUUCUCAAAUUAAUGGACGUCCGUUCAACGUGCAUGAAACCACCUCGGCUACAUCAAAAGCCUUUCGGAGUACUUACGAAGAUGAGAAUUUGCCAAGGAAAGGCAUGGAAACYUCCUCUGUUCCUGUGGCCAACUUAGAUAGCGCAGCACCAGAUAAUGGUGAAGGCAAAAGCAGAGCAAUACCAGAGAUCACGCUGGUGGAUCCUCAUGUUCCAGUGGGCCACUGUGGCCGACAGUGUGUGGGAGAGCGUAAUCCUUUGAUAGGAUCCCUGCUUCAGGAGCGCCAGGAAGUGAUAGCAAGGAUUGCCCAGCACCUCAUUCAUUGUGAUCCGGCUACUUCUCAUCUCACUGGGCAUCCGUUCAAGGUACAGGAAACUAGCCCAGUUUCUUCCAAAAUUUUCCGAAGUACAUACGAAGAUGAAAAUUUGCUGAAGAAAGGCAAGGAAAAGUCUUCUGUUUCUUUUGCUAAAACUGAUUGUUCUUUGAUGGAAGAUAACAGUAAAUCAAGGCUGAAAACACUCGAUACCCCUGUUAGUCCUUCUAGGCUUGAUGGUGAAUUGAAGGCUUCUCAGAAACUCCAAGCGAGAAGAAAAUUGGUUUUAGAAAAGCCCGGUGAAGCUGUCCAAAAUGCAUUUCAUCAGACUUCAAAUAAAACUUCUCAUUUGUUUAUUAACAUGCACACUUCAUCAUCUUGUGUUAAAGAAAAUAAACCUGAAUUGCCAGAUAAAUUGGAAAUGAUACAUUCUGGGUAUGCACAGAAAGACCAAAUAACCAGUCGAAUUAAACAAUGUUCAAAUUUUAGCAGCAUUGACGAACAGUUUUGCACAAAUAAACUUAAAGAAAGAUCAGUCAUUAAUGAGAACAGCAACACGGACAGUUUUAACAAUUUACAGRUAGAUAAAUGCAGAAUACUUGAAGGUACAAAAAAAGCAACUGUGAUGCAGGCAUCUGACUUUUUGCACAAAAAUGAGCUCAAAUGUUUAGACAGAGACUCAAAAAAAGCAAAUAUUUAUGAGCAAAAUACUCAACUUAUUAGUAUUGAAAAUUAUUUAAAUAAAGACCACGAUAGUUUCAAAAGCAGAAACAAACAAGAUAAAACAAAAACUGCACAUGAUGAGAAUGAAGACCCAGUAGGCCUUGAUUUACAAAGCACCUGUCAGAAGAAAUCUGUAGAAGACUGCUUAGCAAAGUGUGAACGGCUAAAGAACCCAGAGGUGCAGAAAAUACCAUCUCUCAAAAACACAAGCAUAUGUCGGAAACACAAUUUUCGAUCCUUGGAUGGAACUUCAACCAAGGCUUUUCAUCCCAGAACUGGAUUGCCUCUACUUUCAAGUCCUGUUCCUCAAAGAAAAACACAGUCUGGAUGCUUUGAUCUGGACUCAUCACUGCUACGAUUAAAGUGUUUGUCUGCAAGAAGCCCUCAACAAUGUAUAAACAGAGACAGUGAUCCAGACAGCCACGGGAAACCAUUUCUGAGUUCUAGUGCUCCGCCAGUAACAAGUCUUAGCCUUCUGGGAAACUUUGAGGAGUCUGUCCUGAAUUUCCGCUUAGACCCGCUAGGUGUUGUGGAUGGUUUCACCGCGGAAGUGGGAGCGAGUGGAGUCUUUUGUCCWACUCACAUGACUCUUCCAGUAGAAGUGUCAUUCUACAGUGUUUCAGAUGAUAACGCACCCUCUCCUUACAUGGCUGCAAACCCCCCAAGUUUUACUUGGAGACAGAGUUGGCUUCAGAGUGCGGGGAAUUAAAUUCUGACGGAUGGACACGAAGAACAAGAGCUAGGGUGUUAUUACUUUAGAGUCCCUUGGUAAAAGGGGUUAUCGGGUACCGCCUUCAGGAACAAUACAAGUGACCUUAUUUAACCCUAACAAAACUGUGGUGAAGAUGUUUGUCGUGAUCUAUGACUUGAGAGAAAUGCCAGCUAAUCAUCAAACAUUCCUACGGCAAAGAACUUUCUCCGUUCCUGUGAGACGAGAAAUCAAGAGAACUCUCAAUAAUGAAAAUACUCAACAGACUGAAGAAAGGCUCCUACGCUACCUCAUACAUCUGAGGUUCCAGAGCUCUAAAUCUGGAAAGAUCUACCUCCACAGAGAUGUAAGGCUCCUGUUCUCUCGGAAAUCCAUGGAAGUUGAUAGUGGCGCUGCAUAUGAACUCAAAUCUUACACUGAAUCUCCAACAAAUCCUCAGUUUUCACCAAGAUGUUAGCAAACAACGGCAAACUAAAGUAUUCAUUUUAACGUUGAUUACUCCUUAAAGGCAAAGAUUGGUACAGAUGACAGUAUAGAGCAGAAUCUGUAAAGGAAUGACAAAUAGCGCGCAAGAGAAGCAAGGUUCUUCUGUGAUCCUGGACCAGUUUUGUAAAGGUUUCUGGAAUGAGCUUUGUGUAUUCCAAGUAGACUGGAAGCAAAUACUUAAAUCUAAUCUUUUUGUACUGUUUAAACCACUUCAUUGGAUGUGUUGCAAUAGCAAAUUCCCAACUUAGUUUAGUGUUUACACUUUUUAUUUUAUUUUUCAGUUAUUUAAUAUUUAAUGUUUCAUUUAAUACUCAAGUGAUGUUUGUCUUUAGUGUUCUAAUGUAGCAUAAAUCCUAUGUAAAAAUCAUACUAUGUAUUUUUGGCAUUAAUAUUGAAAUCUGAAAUAUAUACAGAUGUCUUUAAUCUGUGUGAUGUUUUAAGUGAUAUUCAUUUAACUUAUUGAAAAUGAGGACAACAGUCAAACUUCCAUAACAUUUCAUACUAUGCAAGCAUUUGGCUUUCUUCUUUUCUGUCUGUAAUAUUCCCCUCUUUUCUCACAUACAGGUCUAAUAGCACUUGCAACCAUAGUGCAGAAUGUUGAUUUAUUCCGAAUUGAGAUCACAGAUUGAAUUCAUAUUUCUUUUCUCAAUUUUUCUGUCAUUAAGGGACACCUGAAUAUUCCU